rnacentral:rRNA from 1 species
GUUACCAAACUGUUGCCUCGGCGGGAUCUCUGCCCCGGGUGCGUCGCAGCCCCGGACCAAGGCGCCCGCCGGAGGACCAACCAAAACUCUUAUUGUAUACCCCCUCGCGGGUUUUUUACUAUCUGAGCCAUCUCGGCGCCCCUCGUGGGCGUUUCGAAAAUGAAUCAAAACUUUCAACAACGGAUCUCUUGGUUCUGGCAUCGAUGAAGAACGCAGCGAAAUGCGAUAAGUAAUGUGAAUUGCAGAAUUCAGUGAAUCAUCGAAUCUUUGAACGCACAUUGCGCCCGCCAGUAUUCUGGCGGGCAUGCCUGUCCGAGCGUCAUUUCAACCCUCGAACCCCUCCGGGGGGUCGGCGUUGGGGAUCGGCCCUUUACGGGGCCGGCCCCGAAAUACAGUGGCGGUCUCGCCGCAGCCUCUCCUGCGCAGUAGUUUGCACACUCGCAUCGGGAGCGCGGCGCGUCCACAGCCGUUAAACACCCCAAACUUCUGAAAUGUUGACCUCGGAUCAGGUAGGAAUACCCGCUGAACUUAAGCAUAUCAAUAAGCGGAGGAA